CAUCUCAGAAUGAUCUUUACACGAGAAGUGAUUCUUCUGCUGUACUCCACGCUGAUAUGGUCUCAACUGGAGUAUUGUGUCCAGUUCUGAGCACCACAUUUCAGGAAAGACGUGGACAAAGUGGAGAAAGUCC